UACGGAGGGGGCUAGCGUUGUUCGGAAUUACUGGGCGUAAAGGGCGCGCAGGCGGCUGCUCAAGUCAGGCGUGAAAGGCCUGGGCUCAACCCGGGAAUUGCGCUUGAGACUGGGCUGGCUUGAGUGCGGGAGAGGAUGGUGGAAUUCCCAGUGUAGCGGUGAAAUGCGUAGAUAUUGGGAGGAACACCAGUGGCGAAGGCGGCUACCUGGACCGGUUCUGACGCUGAGGCGCGAAAGCGUGGGUAGCAAACAGG
rnacentral:rRNA from 1 species